rnacentral:rRNA from 1 species
AUUGAACGCUGGCGGCAGGCCUAACACAUGCAAGUCGAGCGAGCGGCGGACGGGUGAGUAAUGUCUGGGAAACUGCCUGAUGGAGGGGGAUCACUACUGGAAACGGUAGCUAAUACCGCAUACCAUCAGAUGUGCCCAGAUGGGAUGAGCUAGUCGGUGGGGUAACGGCUCACCUAGGCGCCGCUUCCUAGCUGGUCUGAGAGGAUGACCAGACAAACUGGAAAGGAGACAAGGUCCAGACUCCUACGGGAGGCAGCAGUGGGGAAUAUUGCACAAUGGGCGCAAGCCUGAUGCAGCCAUGCCGGGUGUAUGAAGAAGGCCUUCGGGUUGGAAAGUACGUUCAGCGGGGAGGCGUUACCCGCAGAAGAAGCACCGGCUAACUCCGUGCCAGCAGCCGCGGUAAUUC